CGUAACAUUAUUGAAGGCGGGCUGGAACCUCUCGGGGUUACAGCCUUGCUGAAUUAUUCACCCUUGUCUUUUGCGUACUUCUUGUUUCCUUGGUGGGUUCGCCCACCACUAGGACAAACAUAAACCUUUUGUAAUUGCAAUCAGCGUCAGUAACAAAUUAAUAAUUACAACUUUCAACAACGGAUCUCUUGGUUCUGGCAUCGAUGAAGAACGCAGCGAAAUGCGAUAAGUAGUGUGAAUUGCAGAAUUCAGUGAAUCAUCGAAUCUUUGAACGCACAUUGCGCCCUUUGGUAUUCCAAAGGGCAUGCCUGUUCGAGCGUCAUUUGUACCCUCAAGCUUUGCUUGGUGUUGGGCGUCUUGUCUCUAGCUUUGCUGGAGACUCGCCUUAAAGUAAUUGGCAGCCGGCCUACUGGUUUCGGAGCGCAGCACAAGUCGCACUCUCUAUCAGCAAAGGUCUAGCAUCCAUUAAGCCUUUUUUUCAACUUUUGACCUCGGAUCAGGUAGGGAUACCCGCUGAACUUAAGCAUAUCAAUAAGCGGAGGAAAUA
rnacentral:rRNA from 2 species